rnacentral:rRNA from 1 species
AGCUACAUGGCAUCGCGUUAGGCUUCCCAAGACGAGCGGUAACAGAAGUAGCUUGCUCUUUGCUGACGAGCGGCGGACGGGUGAGUAAUGCCUGGGAAUUUGCCCAUUCGAGGGGGAUAACAGUUGGAAACGACUGCUAAUACCGCAUACGCCCUACGGGGGAAAGGAGGGGACCUUCGGGCCUUCCGCGAAUGGAUAAGCCCAGGUGGGAUUAGCUAGUAGGUGAGGUAAUGGCUCACCUAGGCGACGAUCCCUAGCUGUUCUGAGAGGAUGAUCAGCCACACUGGGACUGAGACACGGCCCAGACUCCUACGGGAGGCAGCAGUGGGGAAUAUUGCACAAUGGGCGAAAGCCUGAUGCAGCCAUGCCGCGUGUGUGAAGAAGGCCUUCGGGUUGUAAAGCACUUUCAGCGAGGAGGAAAGGUUACUGGCUAAUAUCCAGUAGCUGUGACGUUACUCGCAGAAGAAGCACCGGCUAACUCCGUGCCAGCAGCCGCGGUAAUACGGAGGGUGCGAGCGUUAAUCGGAAUUACUGGGCGUAAAGCGUGCGCAGGCGGUUUGUUAAGCGAGAUGUGAAAGCCCCGGGCUCAACCUGGGAACUGCAUUUUGAACUGGCAAACUAGAGUCUUGUAGAGGGGGGUAGAAUUCCAGGUGUAGCGGUGAAAUGCGUAGAGAUCUGGAGGAAUACCGGUGGCGAAGGCGGCCCCCUGGACAAAGACUGACGCUCAUGCACGAAAGCGUGGGGGAGCAAACAGGAUUAGAUACCCUGGUAGUCCACGCCGUAAACGAUGUCUACUCGGAGUUUGGUGUCUUGAACACUGGGCUCUCAAGCUAACGCAUUAAGUAGACCCGCCUGGGAGUACGGCCCGCAAGGUUAAAACUCAAUGAAUUGACGGGGGCCCGCACAAGCGGUGGAGCAUGUGGUUUAUUUCGAUGCACGCGAAGACCUUACCUACUCUUGACAUCCACGAAUUGUAGAGAUACCUUUAGUUGCCUUUCGGAACCGUGAGAACAGUGCUGCAUGGCUGUCGUCAGCUCGUGUGUGAAUUGUUGGUUAAGUUCCGCACCGAGCGCCACCUUAUCCUAACUGCCAGCGGUUCAUGCGGACUAGGAACUGCGUAUAAAUCCGAGAAAAGAG